CAAGGCGUCCGCUGCUGCUCCUAGCGUCAGGAUGCAAACGUGCUCUGCGUUGUAGCUCAGUGCCCAAAUUGAUGACGUGGUGGUGCCGUUCACCUACCGGACGAGACAGAAUGGCAGACCAGAGCAGGCAGAUCAAACUCGCCGCGGCCAAAAAAAAGCUGAAGGAGUUUCAGCAGAAGAGUGCCCCGCCUUCCGGGGGGUCAAGCAUCAAGAAGAAGAGGAAGACGAAGGAAGCGGGUCAGCUGGACCCCCCCCAGGGAGACAGACACUCCCCAGAUAAUAUUCAGAGCAUACUGAAAGUUCUGGUGUCUGAUCUUAGCGUGACCAAUGGGGUCGCUCUCCCUCCGUUUGUUAACAGCCAGGCUCUCAUUGACGGUGAGGCCAGGGCGUCUCCGAGCGCGCAGCUGGAAGAUGAGCAGCACAGAGAGCCCGACCGCCGCUCGCCGGUGCCUAACGCUAGCGCUAGCGCUAUUAACCCCGAGCCUCGCAGCCAAAGCCCUGCCGCGCAGAGCUCGAGCCCUGACGCGAACUGCAAUGAAAAUUCCCUGGAAGAGAACAGACCGCUGUCCUCCACGGAAAGCUUGCGCCAGCUGUCCCAGCAACUCAACGGCCUGCUAUCUGAGACGCCCGGGCAGUCUCCAUCGUCCUACGUGAACGGGGACAGCGCGGUGUCGCCGGCCAAUGAGAAGGAGCUGGAGACCCGAAACCAGGAGCUCGCAGCCGCCCUGGACUCCAGCAAGCUCACAAACACUCAGCUGAGCUCAAAGCUAGACCAGCUGACACAUCAGUCCCAGGAGCUCUCGGAGCAGCUACAGAAGGAGCGCAAAGAGUUUGAGCAGAAGUUUCAGAAGGAGCAAGGAGCCAUGCGGGAGCAGCUGCAAGUCCACAUCCAGACCAUCGGGAUUCUGGUGUCGGAGAAAUCGGAGCUGCAGACGGCCUUGUCCUACACGCAGCAGGCCGCUCGACAGAAGACCGGGGAAGCGGAGGAGUUCAGUAACCGGCUGCAGUCCUCCAAACAGCGGGUGUCAGAGCUGGAGAGGACCCUGUCCUCCGUCUCCACCCAGCAGAAGCAGUUUGAGAAGCAUAAUAAAGAGCUCGAGAAGGAGAGAGACAGCCUAAAGCUGGAGGUGUACAGACUGAAUAAAGGGAACGAGGAGGCGAGGCAGCAGAGCUCCGAGCUGGCCGAGCAGCUGAAGCUGAGGGCGGGCGAGAACGACGCCAUGCGCUACGAGCUGGACGACCUGCGCAAGAGGCUGGAGAUGGCCGACCUGAUGAUCCAGCAGUUCUCCAGCCAAUCAGGGCCUCCCAGCAGCAACCAGCAAGCGCAGCUGCUCCUGGAGGAGAAACUGCAGCUGGAGGCGCACACAGAACAGCUGAUGGAGUCUGUUGCGCAGCUGCAGACGGAGAGAGACCAGUACGCCGCGCAGAUCCAGGAGGAGGGCCGCGUGUGGAAGGAGAAAACGGAGCAGCUGCUGACUCAGGUGACGUCCAUAUCGGAGGAGAGGGACGGCUGCGCCGCUCGCAUCCUGGAGCUGGAGUCCCAAAUCACAGAGCUGAAGAGCGCUGCGGCCCUGUUGUCCCAGGAAGCAGAGGCCUUGGCCCCGCCUCCGCCUGCGGGGCCCUCGGAGGCCGAGCUGAGCCUGCAAGAGGCCCUCAGCGGCCUGCAGCAGGAGAGGGACGGGCUCAGCGCCCAAUACCAGGCCCAGGUACGGGACAACGAGCAGCUGAGCCGGCUGGUGCAGGAGCAGGAGGCGCGGCUGCUGGAGCUGGAGCAGGAGGCGCAGCGCGAUGCGGAGGAGGCGCAGGACCGCCAUCGCCUCCUGGAGGACGCGCAGAGCGACAAGGCCACCAUCAGCCGCGCGCUGGCGCAGAACCGCCAACUCAAAGAGCAGCUGGCCGAGCUGCAGAACGGCUUCGUCAAGCUGACCAAUGAGAACAUGGAGCUUGCGACUGGGUUGCAGUCUGAGCAGCACGUGAAGAAGGAACUGGCAAGAAAAAUGGGCCAGCUGCAGGAGGACCUGCACCACAUCAAAGAGCAGCUGGAGCAGAAGGUGGAGGAGGCCCGGUCGGCCCAGGAGCAGCGGGACCAGUACCUGGCCCACCUGCAGCAGUACACCAGCGGGUACCAGCAGCUGGUUGCCGAGCGGGAGGAGCUGCACCGGCACUUCCUGCAGCAGACGCAGCUGAUGGACCGGCUGCAGCACGAGGAGGUCCAGGGCAAGGUGCAGCUGGAGCUCAGCCAGCAGCAGCUGGAGCAGGCGCAGGAGAAGCUGAACCAGCUGGCCAAAGAUAACGAGGACCUGAAGACGGAGGUGCAGGAGCUCCUGAACAGCUCAGCGCUGGGCUCGCCGUCCAGAGUCCAGGGUGAUGGACUGGAGAGCAAGACUGUGUAUGAGAGCUUCCAGAAAUCCGACAGUCUCACCAUCCCAGAGGACUUUGACAGCAGGGAACAGAUGGAGGAGUUUGUGCAUUCCGCCCUGAGCCACCUGGAGAAGGAGAGGGACGAGGUGGCCUGGCAGCUGGAGGAGGAGAGAAGGCUGCACCAGGCCUCCCUCCAGCAGGUGGCGGCAAUGAGUCAGGAGCACCAUCACCACAGCACCUGCACAGACGUAGCCUCGGACCUGGGUUCGGACAGCGUGCCGGCGGAGGUGCACGAGGCCCUGCGCGUUGCCAUGGAGAAGCUGCAGCUGCGCUUCACUGCGCUGAUGCAGGAGAAGGUGGACCUGAGGGAGCGCGUGGAGGAGCUGGAGCACCGCUGCAUUCAGCUCUCCGGAGAGACCGACACCAUCGGAGAGUACAUCGCUCUGUACCAGAACCAGAGAGCGAUCAUGAAGCAGAAACACUUGGAGAAGGAGCAGUACAUCAGCAUGCUGGCCAAAGACAAGGAGGAGAUGAAGGUGAAACUGGCGGAGCUGCAGGACCUGGUCAUGCGCUUGGUGGCCGAGCGGAACGAGUGGUACAGCAAGUACGUGCAUUCGGUCAACAACCCGGACCUGCUGCCCGCCGGCGCGGAGCCCUGCGCCCCCGCGCAGAGACGCAUGGAGCUCAACGCCGUCGACGGCCCAGAGUCCAUGGAGGUGAGCUCAGAGCUGGCCCUGGGCCCGUCGGUGCUGGGGGGGUCGGACGUGGAGCCCCUGCUGCAGGAGGCGGGCGAGGUCGGGGCGGAGAGCGCGGGGGCGCCGCCGCGCCCCCCGGUGGAGGACGGGACGGCCCAGCAGAUCAUGCAGCUGCUGCAGGAGAUCCAGAACCCUCAGGCCCGCCCCGCCCCCUUCCUGGGGGAGAACCCCUGCAUCCCCUUCUUCUACCGGGCCGACGAGCACGACGAGGUCAAGAUCCUGGUGGUCUGAGACUCCUCCCACUUGCCCCGCCCCCUUCCCUCCUGCCCCGCCCCCUUCCCACACACCCUCCCAUUUGGCUGAAGGGACUCUCCCGCCUUUGGCGGACCUGACCGGAGAGCUCUACAACUAGCUCUUUAAGGGAUGAAAGUGCGUGUGUGUGUGCGUGUGUGCGUGCGUGUGUGUGUGUGUGUGUGUGUGUGUUUUGGUCUCCUUCCAACGGAGUCUCUUGUAACCGAAAUGCCCCGCCCCCUUCCCCAAUUUCCAAAGCUCGGUUGGAGGGUCUCCCUGGAAGUGCUCUGUUACCUUCAGCUGCCGUCGUGAAAGUGAAGAAAGGACAGACUGAACAAACGUUUAAAUGAGUUUUCUCUCCACCGUCCCUAACGCGGGAGCUCAGUACACCCUCCCUCUGCCCAAACGCCCCCCACCCCCCCCCCCCGUUAAUAUCUAAAAUCUGGUUCGGGAAGAGUCAGGGUGGCUUAGGAGGGUGGGUGUGGGGGUGGGGCAUCAUUACACUCCUGCGAUGGGACUAGUUGUGACCAAGGCUUGAGAAUCACCCUAAGGGUGCAUCUAGUGCUGAUCUGGCCCCCAGCCCCCUUGUGUAAAAGACCUGCAUUUUGAGAUUGAUCAGGAGGAGAUUGAUCUUUUUCCUUUACUUUUGUGCACUUGCUUUAAACCUUUAAAAAAAAGACAUUAAAUACAUGAAAAUGUAAUAAUUGCGUAGACUAGAUUUUAAAAUGCUAACCAGAGAAACGUCUCUCCAAAGAGAAAGCAGCCGACCGAGUAUCUACGUUUGCAGUUUUUUUUCUUUGCUAUAUUUGGGUGGGGGUUGUUUUCGCCAGGAGAGUUGCUCCUAGCCUGGGUUCGGACUGGAGGAUGAGCCCGCAGAGUUUGGCGCCUGUGGGCAUCGGUCCCUGCACGUGCCCUGUCCUGCUGGCACACGGGGGUGGGGGGGGGGGGGUGGCGUCUCAUCAGAAGGCCGCAGGAACAGGAAGCGAGUCAGAGACGCGUCGGCGCGGCGGGCGUCUGAAACGCGAGCGGGGCGGCAGACCGCGGGAGAGCUCGCCGUCUUUCGCGCGACAGUUCCGGAAGGACCUAGAUUCGUCUAGCGGAAACGGCGGUGCGCGGAGUCGAAUAGACUCGGGCUGCGAGCUCCGCCUCUCCGGUGUCUUUGUGCAAUACGGCGUCAGCCAGGGCCCGGUCUGCCGGUACAUGUCCAUUUUUGAUUUCCCGACUGCCCGAAGUGACGCUUUCUGAACGCACCCUUCAGAGAUUCCACUUGUCGGCGCGGCCGUUGCACGGUCUUCAUGUGCGACGAGUAACGUAGACGUAGAAUAACAUGGGCUUUGAGUGUUCUCUCUUGGUUUGCGUAGAAACUGUCCCGGGUCAAGAGCGGCGUCUGGAAUGUCCGGGCAGGGAGAUUCCCCACCCCCUGAGGGAGGGGAACAGCUUCUGUGGUUGACGGAGGAAUGCAAUUUUUUUUUUUUUUAAAUACAAAAGCGUUUGGCCUCGUUACCGUAUAUUCAGCCACCGCUGUUCAAUGUGUGUGCCCAUUCUGGUGGUGUGUGUCUCUGUGGUGGAGAGUCCUCCUGCAUUGCUUCUGGCCCUAGGACAGGAAGCGCUUUAGGACAGGAAGUGCUUUUCGACAGGAAGUUCUUCAGGACAGGAAGUGCUUUUCGGACAGGAAGUGCUUCAGGACAGGAAGUGCUUCCUGCUUCCUUUGAGAAUGCGCUGAGAAGGCGGAGAGUAAGUGAAAAUGCGUGCAUGCCCGCUCGCGUGUGUGUCUGUGUCACACGUCCCCAUUAGGACAUAAAUAUUUAAAAUAAUAAUAAAAUAAAAUUGAUGAGAAUUUGUUUUGGCUGUGCUGUAGAAUGAACCAGCGAAGCGGCUGGCAGCCAGUGUGCACGCGUCAGGGUCCGCUCGGAUGGCCGCAGGGCAUGGCAGUUUGGGUCCGUGUACGGACAAAAUUUGGGCUGGAGUUUCCCUGUUCUGCUGCUUGGACGAAACAUCCAGGAUUGGCAGUGACUGAAAGCAACAAGAAAAAAACUUUGUGUGCGCUGCUAAAAAAGAAAAAAGAGAGAAUAGGAAAGUAAUGCUUCAUUGAAGUUGUUGGGCAGUUGAGGGUUGUGGUGUGCGGUUUUAAAAGUGUGCGGUAGCUCUGUCUUCAGCUACCCUGCGUAAACACUGAAGCCUGCUAGCGCUUUGCUGAGUGACUACAAAUGGCCUCCACGCCCGUGGGUCGCCUUGCACUCCAGCCAGCGUCAUUGUCUGUGAGAGUGUGAAGGAGCCAGGGGAAGGGCACCAGGGUGCCGCUGCUUUAUUUGGGUUUAUUUAUGAAGGUCUUCAGAGCCGGAGUGAAGUUCUAGAUCAGCGGCUUUCUGGGCUGGUCCAGGGGAUGCUGCAGCUCGGUUUUCCUGGGGCUGAAUUCGUUCCUGAAUUUAAGAUGAGCAACGCAGCAGACUUUUGGGCCCCCUGUGUGGCUCUGUGGGGCCCCCUGUAUGGCUCUGUGGGGCCCCCUGUAUGGCUCUGUGGGGCCCCCUGUGUGGCUCUGCCUUGGACCUCCGGGUUCCACUCAUAGAUUUUGUUUUUCUUUUUUCUGGGGGGGGGGGGGGGAAAUGAGAUUAAGUAAAUUAAAUUGUGUCAUUGGGGUGGGAGGGGAGGGGAGGAGUUAAAAAAAAAAGUAACUGGAAAGCAAAGGAGGAGUUAAAAAAGAGCUUCUUUUUUUUUAGUCUAUUGGUGGUUUUGUGGAAUUUAAUUUUGUCUGAGUUUAAUUGGACGGCCGGCCAGUGACAUAAGUGUGUAAAUAGUGUAUCUGUGUAACAUACUGUAUAUUCCUCUAUGUAGGUUUGCGGAGACGGAGAAGGUUGGGCAUCGCUGCUUUUUGGCCGCGACUGAGGUGUUAAUGACCUGUAGAUCUAAUGAAUCAUGGUGGGGGUGGGGGUGGGGGGUUCAGGGGCAGAUUGGGGCAGUGGGUCACGGGUGGAACCGUCUGUGAUUUAAUACUGAGGUUAACUACAUGAAAAUAUAUUUAUUUGGAGUAAUUAUCCAAACUAAUCAGUUUUAAAAUGUAGAAUGUGUAAACACUAUGGAGAAAAAAUGAAGAAAAAAAAAUAUACUGUCAACAGAAUAUUUCUGAUGUGAUUCACCUUGUAAGAUUUUUUUCCCCCUCUCUUCCUGAAUAAAAUUGAAUGAGCAAAGUAA